rnacentral:RNase_P_RNA from 1 species
CGAGGCGGACAGGUGACCGCCGAACGUAAGUGAAUACGGUUGGAGGAAAGUCCGGGCUCCAAAGAGCAGGGCGCUGGGUAACACCCAGUCGGGGCGACCCGAAGGAAAGUGCCACAGAAAUGACACCGCCAGGCGGCGCUUGUCUCCGGAGAGGCGCUGUCGGGUAAGGGUGAAAUGGUGGGGUAAGAGCCCACCGGCGGCCGGGUGACCGGCCGGCCAGGCAAACCCCGCCCGGAGCAAGACCAAAUAGGAGGGCGCUCACGGUUGCUCGCCAAGCCCUCGGGUAUCGGUCGCUAGAGGCGCCGGGCAACCGGCGUCGCAGACAGAUGGUCACCGUCCCGCAAGGGAUACAGAACCCGGCUUAUCGCCGCUCUCGGCCC